AUUGAACGCUGGCGGCAUGCUUUACACAUGCAAGUCGAACGGCAGCGCGGGGCAACCUGGCGGCGAGUGGCGAACGGGUGAGUAAUACAUCGGAACGUACCCAGAAGUGGGGGAUAACGUAGCGAAAGUUACGCUAAUACCGCAUACGUUCUACGGAAGAAAGUGGGGGACCGCAAGGCCUUAUGCUUUUGGAGCGGCCGAUGUCUGAUUAGCUAGUUGGUAGGGUAAAGGCCUACCAAGGCGACGAUCAGUGGCUGGUCUGAGAGGACGACCGGACACACUGGGACGAGUACACGGCCCAGACUCCUACGGGAGGCAGCAGUGGGGGGUAUUGGACGAUGGGCGCAAGCCUGAUCCAGCAGGGCCGCGUGAGUGAAGAAGGCCUUCGGGUUGUAAAGCUCUUUAGUCAGGGAAGAAACGGCUGAGGUUAAGACCUUUGGCUAAUGACGGUACCUGAAGAAUAAGCACCGGCUAACUACGUGCCAGCAGCCGCAGUAAUAC
rnacentral:rRNA from 1 species